rnacentral:lncRNA from 7 species
GCCCUCUUUUUUUUUUCCUCAUUGGCCACAGAACCAUCUGCUGGUGUCACCACUCCUGGUCCCUUGGAAAUGGCUUGCAGAGCAUGAGGUCCAUCCUGGCUGAGGGCUGAAAUCUGCUGCUUGAGAGUCUCUUCAGAAGUAGAGAGAUUCUGAUACUUCUGUGUUGCUCGGACCCUAAAAUCCCAGAUCCUUAGAUCUCUAGCUUUUUAAGGUUCCCACUUCAGGAACACAUCUUGCAGGGUAGGGCUGUUGGCCACCAGGGUGCUGUGAAGAGUGGGUACCUGGACUGGAGACAAAAGGCUGCUGUAGAAGAGGUGGCUGAACAGAGCAUCCAAGCUGGCAUUUUUGGUGAGGAAGAAACUGGGAUACAGUAAGGAAGAAUUAAAUGAAAAAAAGAAGGCAUGCAAGCAUCUGGAAAGGGAGGUUAAGGGCCAUCUGGACACAGUCCUGUCCCUCACACAAGCUGUUGUCCAAGGAUUGCUCUGGCAGCAGGACUAGCUGGCAUGUCUGGGAGUCUCCAUGCUCAUGGCCAGGAGGGCAGAUGGCACUGGAUUCACAGUGACCCAGCAGGAUCCCAGACACCUUCAGUAUCACUGGUGCAGAUAUUUGGGGAUUGGUAUGCUCCUUUCCAGCUGGCCUUGUGGUGUUGGGCCUCACCAAAGGGCUGCCUGAAGUGGUUGGUGAAGGAGAACAGUGGAGCUCAGCUGACAUCACUUCAGCAAUGUGUUUAUAGUGACAGAUUCUUCAGCCCACUGCCCUUGGUGUUCAAUAAAUGGGUAUGGAGAAGAGUCACUCAAAGCGUUGGUCACUCUGCUCAUGCACACCUACACAUCAGGGAUUGUUUUGUUCAAGGAACAUUUUAUUAGUGCUUCAUCCCAGUAAUGAUGCUUGUUUUUUAUAGCAUCUGUGGUAUGGAAUUUGUCAAAAAAUAAAAUGCUUUUGU